CUUUUGUUUGUGUCCCACUCGGGCUGCCGUCCUCCGCCGGGGCCCGGAAGCGGGCGGGGGGAGGCUGAGGCGGUACCGGCAGCGCGGCUCGGUGGCGGGCAGCGGCCAUGAGCAAAAGGAACCAGGUCUCCUACGUGCGGCCGGCCGAGCCCGCCUUCCUCAGCCGCUUCAAGCGGCAGGUCGGGUAUCGGGAGGGGCCCACGGUGGAAACCAAGAGAGAGCAGCUUCCACUUGCAGAUGAUGAUAGUGAGAACGGCAGUGACAAGGAAGAUGAGCAGCCUCAAGUGGUAACAUUGAAAAAAGGGGACUUGACUGCUGAAGAAGCAAUGAAAAUUAAACAGCAGAUUAAAGAGGCCUUAAAGACAAAUGAAUCAGAUGGCGAACCAGAACCUGCUGAUGGGAAAAUUAUGUUCAGGAAGCCAGCCAAACGUUCCUCAGAGAAGUCUUUGGAUUUCAAUUGCUUCAGUACAUAAUCCUGUUAGGAAGCUGCAGAUUGAUAAUGAAGCAGGAAGUAGCAGUGUCAUCGCUUCAGCUGAUUGUUUCCCUUGCGCUGGAGUGUAUUAACUAAAUAAUGCUUCACUUGGCUGCCUGGAGCCAAUUGCAUUCUCAAGGACACGAGGCGUGCCUGAAGAUGAGUCAUUACCUUUGGUACAGCACAGGAGGUUAUUGCGGACUGAAUAUGCUCAAUGGUAUUAAUGGGAAGAACAGUUGCUGAAUUCCUCUGUGCUGGAUGGGCAUCUUGGGCUAAUUUAUUUUCUGACAUUACUCUAUUGCUCUCAAUGAAAUGACACCGAUGGAUACACAAGCUUCUUACUAGACCUACUAGAACAAGGUAGUCUGAGACAAACAGGUUUAAAUUCAAGAAGUGAAACAUCUUGCCACUGAAUCCCAUAGUCAACAACAUAUUUAAGUGAUGGGAGUGACUGACUCAGUGGUCAUUCUGCAGGAAGGGGUCUGUGACUGCUGUGAAUUAAAAACUGAAGACGGGCCUCGGUGUGAGGAAAGCCAAUGCAAUUUUGGCUCUAUAAAUAGUGUGUCACUGAGAAGAAAUGUGAAGUAGUCCUGCCCUACUUAUUCUCCGCUUCAGACUUUAGCUGGAGUAAUGUGUCUACUUUUGUGCACUAUACUUCAAAAAAGAAAAACGUAGACCGAUUGGAAAGUCCAGCAGAAAGUACUGCUAUUGAUCCAGAGUCUAGAAAACACGACCUGUGAGGAGAGAUUGAAAGAAGUGGGUUUAUACAUCUAGAGAACGGAGAUGCAGGGGAGGGAAUAAGAAUGUGAAACCAGUCUUCAGAUAUGUAAAGCUUGCUGCAAAGAGGAAAGUAAUAAAUUGUUCUCUGCUGGGAAUACAAAAAGAACUAAUGAUUUUAAAUUGCAGGAAAGGAGAUUUAAGGAAGACAUUAGGACAGGCUUUCUAGCUGUAACAGUAGUGAAGUGCUGAAACAGAUUGCCCGGGGAGGUUGUGGGAUCUUCAUUGCCAGACAUUUUUAAGAACAGGUUAGACAAACAUCUGUCAGGAAUGAUUUGGGUAUAAUUGAUCCUGCCUUAGGGCAGAGGGCUGGACUGGGUGACCUCAUAAGGUCCCUUCCAGCCCUAUUUUCUAUGGUUCUCUCGUUAGGAAGGCUGAUGUGAUAUUCCUAGGACCUUAUCAUUCCUUUUAAAAGCAAAAACAUGCUAUAGCAAUGCCAAGAGUCAGAUUUAAAGUGACAACAUCUGGGAAAAUUCAAAGCUUCAGGUUGAUAUCCCACCCUUAAUUACUAACACUUGAAUGCAUGCAACACAGUUGGACUUGUUCAAAGGCUAAACACUUGGAGGUCACACAACUGUCUUUUGUGACCAGACUGGGAUCUUUUAAUAGCAUAAGAAUUUGUUUCUUCUAAGGUGUAUUAAUCUUAUAUAUUGCAACUUCCAUUUUGUCAUUUAAGUAGCAGGCAUUGGUCUUUCUCAUCUAACAUGUGCCAGGUGGGGUCACUCUCAUUUCACAUGCCAUAGCCAGUUUGGCCACACGCUCUGCUUCCACUCACUUGCUCCAAAGCUUGUUCUUCCACUCCAGUUCAUCAUGACACCGGUGCUCAGCUUUAUUACAUGGCUGUGUUUAAUUCACUAAUACCGCUGUUAAGGCUCUUGGUACACUCCUCUCUGUUCUCAGACACUGGAUAUUCCUCCUGCUGCUUUCUGCUGACAUGUUCUUUUAUUCCUGUUGAUAAAUUUCAUUUUCAUCUGUCUUUUGCUGCUUUCCCUUCAAGCUGUGCUUGUGUUACAAACUGCGGUUCAGCAGUUUAACAAUUGGAUUGCGUCCAAAUAUUACCAAAUGCCACAUCUUUUAAUAUCAGGCAGAGCAGCUUGAAUUUUCUUCCUCAGAGCGCUGUCAAAGACACACUGGCGUGUUUUCUGUGCAAAUGCCAAAAUAAAAAAAAGAAGUUUAACAAAAGAUGAGGGGUGUGAAGCAAGCUGAAAUGUCUGCAUUCCCAGAAUUUUGUAUUUUUGCUGAUUUCAGAUUUUAGUUCAUGACCCAGCUGCUGAUUUAUGCAACUCCGUGGAACUAUGCCAGUUUCGAGCAGCCAAGAAUUUGGCACUGUCACUUUUGUGACUGUUGGUACCUCAGCGUUCAGUGAUGUGACUCUGUGUGUUUUUUUCCCCAAAGGUCAUGCCUGUCCAUUGGUGAUUGCAGUAUUGCAAUCCUAUGUCAAGUGGAAUUAUAAUAUAUAUACAUGAAGUUAUAAGUGGGGUUAUAAUAUAUAGAGAGACACACGUAUAUAUAUGUAUGUAUGUGUUACAUAUUUGGUUUGAGUUUGGCCCUUCAGGUUUUAUGGUUGCAGAGCUUUUCUCUACGGCUACAUGGAGAAUAGAAACUAAAGUAAAAAUAGAGACAAACCCAGAAUAAAACUGUGUUUUUCACAUAAUCACAGAAUGCUUCCAGAAGCUGAGACUUGAAAAAAUUCAACAUAUACCAUGAAAUUUGGUAACAUUAUGACUGGAUACUUGGCCGUUAAAUUGUUUUACUGCAUCCAGCAGAGAAGGAUGCUAUCUGUUGUUUUUCAUAAUGGUGAAAUGCUCAUCAGGGUGCUGUAAGACACCCUUUGCCCUGUGUAUAUUUGGCAUUUCCUUGUUACAGACUGACCAUAUUCACUGAAGCUGUGGGUAUUGCAUGAGGUCUGCCACAGAGGAGGACUCCUGUUCAUUGCUGGGGGCCUUGGAUGAGAGUCAAGAGUAGCUUUUGCCAUGGUUGCUCAUCUGUUUCACUCCAGGCUUGCCUUUCAUGUGUUUUGGAGAUAGAUGGACAAACGACACAGAUAUUCUGGAUCAUCCAGAUCAUGGCUGCCUUCCUUGUCUGUAUUGUACAUUCUUUGUGUGUA